GAAAACUUACCAGGUCAAGACAUGGGCGUGAUUGACAGGCUAAUGACUUUUCUCGAUUCCAUGGAUGGUGGUGCAUGGUCGCACUUAGUUGGUGCAGUGAUUUGUCAGGUUUAUUCCGGUAACGAACGAGACCUCGGCCUUGUAAAUAGCUAUGCUGCUUACAGGGACAUUGGCGGCUACGCCAAGGAAGCUCGAGGCAAUUGCAGAUCUGGAAUGCCCUUAGAUGUCCUGGGUCGCACGCGUGCUACAAUGACGCCACGAACGAGCUUGCGUGAUGAAAGUUACGCAUAAUCAGCAGUCGGCGUCUUAAGGGAUAGUCUCUUGUAACUGUGGGACUCCAACUAGGAAUGUCUCGUAAGCACAAGUCAACAUCUUGUGUUGAUUACGUCCCUGCUCUUUGUACCACCGCCCGUCGCUCCUACCGAUCGAGUGUUUAGGUGAAUUUGAUGGACGUAAGGAAGUCAAAUAACCUGAGCUCUUAGGGAAGGGAAUUGUGACUC
rnacentral:rRNA from 1 species